UCUUCAGUGGAAGCGUGGAGGGGAGGUGUUGUUCAAAGGGAGGUAAUGAGGAGUGAGGUUUGGCCAAGGCUUACAGACAGGCAGGUUCUGAUCUAAAUAACGUGUCUGACAAGGGAAUCCAAUAUUCUGUGUGUUCAAUAGCUGUUGCAUUUGUAUGAUACAAAUUAUUUAUUGAUAACUUGUACUCUCAGGACUGAAUUUUAAAUGGGACCAUUCUGAAUUCACAAAGAGGAAACUUGCCAUGUUGAUUGAUCUACGCGCUUCUCAUGAAUGGUUUGAAGUCAGCGCGGCAUUGUUUCAAUCUGAGUGGAAGACGGCAGACAUGCAGACAAACACAGCAUGAGGGGGGAGGAGUGAUGGGAGUAGCUGCACACGAGGAACCAAGAACCACCUGCUCCAAAGCAACUUCCUGUUGCUGCACCAUUGUGGGUUUUUUUCCCGGCCCUUUGUGCUCCCACUGCCUCCCAGCGAAAGCUGCCGAUCUAAAAUGAGAUCUGAUGCUCUCAUGGACUCUGUGUGGAUGAGACCUGCAGGUCAGCGAGGCGCAUGAACAGAAGGGGAGGACCAGUGAAUGCACCAUCAGAAGAUGGUCACUGCGUGUGUGUGUGUGUGUGUGUGUGUGUGUGUGUGUGUGUGUGUGUGUGUGUGUGUGUGUGUGUGUGUGUGUGUGUGUGUCAAGCUGUAGCCGUAAUCUGUUGUUAGUAUUAAUUAUACUAAUGAUUUAAUUCUGCCCCCUUCUGUCUUAAUGUUAGUAUGGCAGCUGAAGAAACGUUGGACGGCUCGAAUCUCUUCUUCUGCAGAAUCUCAACUAAUUAAUCUCAGUGGAGUGUAAAUAAUUAGGCAGCCAGCGUGUUGAAAUGGAAACAAAACUCGGAACAAGUUACACCGACACACGGAAAUAUCACAAACCCAACUCUUUGAAUAACGCCGGCUCUGCAGCGUCUUCAAACGCCGCUGCCGCUUGAGAGACAGGUCGCUUCAAUUCCCCAAAAUAAAAGCACCCGACGCUGCUGCCCACAACAGCAAACCACGUGUUUUUAUUUAUUUCAUAAUUCAUGACGUACCACCAAUACGCACACAUAAAUAAUAAAAUGACACAUUUUGCUCACGUCCAAAAAGUGACUCAGCAACCUACUAUUUGACAAGAAUAGAAAAAUGCAUUAGCCCACACCCACCACCUAAGAUGACUGUAUUCUACAUCCUAGAGGCCGGGGCCGUUUCUAAAGGUCUAGCUGGGCCUCUGCAGCUUUCACCAUGUUGUUAACUGUGAAAGAGAAUUUGAAAGCAUUUAAAAGUUGCAUCGCUAUACAGCCUUUUCUCCUAAUAGUUAAGUGUUGCCCUUAAUCUGCCGAGGCAGUGCUCGAGCUAAUCUUUUAUAAUCCCCUCUUUCUUUGUAUCUGUGCUCUCUCCACACCAAUUUUCUGCACCAGCGUGUGUCGAGGGCUUGUGGAAGUCCUAUUAAAGCGCUUGGACAGUGUAUUUUGAGGACACAACCACCACAGGCUGGGCUUUAGCUUGUUUGUGCCGUAUCCAUGAAGCCUGGUCAGAACAGAAAGGGCAAGCCAAUUUCCAGCAGCAGCUCAUUUAGUCUCAGCAGCUAGCAUGCUGCGUGUGUGUGUGUCCGUGUGUGUGUGUGUAGUCAGAGAGCAACUAUACUUUAGAGCUCAGAAACUGUGUUCUGUCUCUGCCUUGUUUAUUUUUUCAGCCCGAGAUGCAAUCUGUUGCUUUAUCGUGGGCUCAGCCUGAAAUAAUUCAGGAAACUAUUCAGUGGAUGCGAGACCCGGGUCCCCAGGCUAUGCACCAUAAUGACAUUGUUCACCGGCAGGUUGACACUGAAACAUGAAGUCAUCACGUAACAAAGCAUCGGAAUCACAUAAAAAUAUAAUGUUUAAUAUAAAAAGCCACAUAAAAGGAGCAACAUGUAAAUGAAGUGGAUCUGCUGAGAAGGCUACACAUGUACUUUACCUUGCAAUAAUAUGGAUAAAGCACAAUGCUCAGGUUUAAAUUCAUUUUCUGUCCGAUGCUGUGAGUAUUUGGAGACAUUUCAUGGCAUUAAUCUCAAGAUGUGACAAAUAAAACACGAGCAUCAUUCAGCCUGUGAAACCUGCUUUUUAAUGACUUUCGCAGAGUUGGAGGGAGAGAAAAAGUGAUGCUGUCUUCUGGAUUAUCUUGGCUCAGACCAGGAAGCAUCACAUGCAGGUGCAGGGACUGAUUAUCAGGAGGCAGCGCGCUCUAAUGAAAGGCAUUAUCUAGUUGCUUUAUGGAGAUGAUUCUGCACGUCUGUCUUUAUAUUGUUCAUUAGCUAAAUCCUGAUUUACUCCAUUAUGAUCCCAGAUUACUGUGGUCCAUCCAGAGGCUUGGUUCUCUGCCAGGGACUGUUUAAGGUUUCUUUCCGCUGUCUCUCUUCCAGCGGGUGAAGGGUGUUAACGUAAAACCAGCUGCACUGUCUGUUCAGCUGUGAUGGCUAAAACCCCUUCUAUGCUUUAAAUCCAGCUAGAAGUCUCUCGUGAUUGUGUGUAUGAAGUCUUCGAUCUUCUGUAUCUGCUUAUAAAACCCAUGAAAAUCCCGA